rnacentral:rRNA from 1 species
AACGAACGCUGGCGGCAUGCCUAACACAUGCAAGUCGAACGAACUCUUCGGAGUUAGUGGCGCACGGGUGCGUAACGCGUGGGAAUCUGCCCUUGGGUACGGAAUAACUCAGAGAAAUUUGUGCUAAUACCGUAUAAUGACUUCGGUCCAAAGAUUUAUCGCCCAAGGAUGAGCCCGCGUAAGAUUAGCUAGUUGGUGGGGUAAAAGCCUACCAAGGCGACGACCUUUAGCUGGUCUGAGAGGAUGAUCAGCCACACUGGGACUGAGACACGGCCCAGACUCCUACGGGAGGCAGCAGUGGGGAAUAUUGGACAAUGGGCGAAAGCCUGAUCCAGCAAUGCCGCGUGAGUGAUGAAGGCCUUAGGGUUGUAAAGCUCUUUUACCCGGGAUGAUAAUGACAGUACCGGGAGAAUAAGCUCCGGCUAACUCCGUGCCAGCAGCCGCGGUAAU